GACCGUCUGGGAACACAGCCUUUCAGUUCAGGGUGAGCUCAACCAGCCCCACCCCACACCGUUGAGGACCUCCAAGGCUCUGUGAGAUGUAAAAUGCACCUUCCUCGCUCAGGGGAGACAUGGAACCAGUCUGGAAGACCUGCCUAAAGUCUUUGAGUCAUUUCCUGACAGCACUUGUUGUGCCCUAUUUUGGAAUUGGCCAUCUUAGAGAUGAUGUCAUUGGGCUUGGUAAAUCUUGACAGUACUUGAGUUUUCUAAGAAGCCACCACAAACUAGUGCUUGACCCAGCCUCGACAAUGGUGGCAGCCCAUCCCAUUUCCCAUGAGCUCCACAGUAUCCGUGAGAAACCCACACGGUGGAAGGAGAGAACCAACUGCCAUGAGCUGUUCACCGACUUCCACAUGUAUGUUGCACCCACACACAUCCAUGGAAAAUGAAGAUAUAUAUGCUUAUGAAAACUUAGCUACGUAAAGAGUUGCUUCAAGAAAAGAAUAACUGACAUCGUUCCUCACGCAGCUUGAGUGUGAACCGGGUGUGCCCCGUGGCACUUGCUCUCCGAAGCAGAGAAGUGAGCUGGUUUUCCCACCUUUGGUGGCCUUUGACUUGAGGGCAUUUGGGUUCUCCAACCUGAAUCCAACUCCCAUAUUUUGAGUAGAA